rnacentral:lncRNA from 1 species
UUACUUUUUCCUAAUUUGUGUCUAAAUGUUACUAGUUGAUUUUAAUGAGCUCUUACUAUACUGUGAAUAAUUUGCAAUAAUGAUUAAAUAUUAAUUCGAUUGUUGGGAAGAAAAAAUUGCUAAUGUGGCCUUUCCUUGUAUUUCGGUUCAGAAGAAAGGUUGUGUAAUUCAAUCAAGGAAAAUCUCAUAAAUUCAUAAAAUGACACACACAAUAAAAAAAAGAAGGACAAAAAAAAAUCAACAUUAAAAAUUCGAAUGAAAGAAAAAAAAGGAAAGCCGUAUUCUAAAAGUGAACAAUAGGACUUUACAUAAUAUAAUGAAUUUCCAAUAUAUGACAUUUAUAAUCAAGUCAAUUUCUAUGGAACAGAGGCAUUUGUGAGGAGAAGAUAACCUCUGGCAAGUAUUCGUAUUAUGAUUUGAAUUUAAAAAAAAGCUGAAGUUUAAGGCAAGAAGAGUAUGAAAAAAAAAUUCUGGACUUGGUUGCAAUCUUAGUUGGAUAAGAUAUAGUUGAUAUUAAAUAAUCAAAAUCUUCGCUCCACAGGGCUGUAUGACCUCCAUAAAUCAUACACAAUCGGAAAAAUUGUUCACGUAUCGAGUCGUGACAGAAACACUGGGGAUAUCAGGAUACUUAUCAUAUAGUCUUAAUUGUUAUUUAUGUAGUUCAGAAAGAGAGACAGCUUCACAUCUUCUUUGGGAGCCUCCAGUUUUAAAACUUAUUUACUCCACUCUUGGGAAGCUGGUUAAGGAACUUCUUCCGAGACUUAGUGAAAAGAAAUGACUUUUUCACACUAGCUUCCAAUGACAAAAUAUAUUUUCACACAAUAAUCGUGAAAAUUCAAUUAUGCCAUGAAGUCAUCCAUCUACAUUUUUGAUGGGUCAGUGUUACGAGGGUUGUCUGAAAAUUUUCCGAUCUAACAAAGAAACAAGACAUUUUUUCAAAAUAUUCUUUUUGUAACUCUACACAAUUAUACAUCAAUAUUUUCAUCUUUGUAACCUAUCCAAAUAGUACUCGGCGUUUUUCUCUGCAAAAUAAUCGUUCACGAGACACUUUUGGUUUUUAGCAAUCUGAAUUGUAUUGCCUUAGACGCGUCUAAUUAUUACACAGUAAGGCAUUAUAUGUCUGCUAUUGUAGACUCUACACUUAAAAACAAAUAUUUAAUGACAUUUCAAUACUCGAUUUUGUCCACUUUCAUAAAAACAAUAACAUUAACUCACUCAAACGACUGUUACAUAACAAAUUCACUUCCAAAAUGGCUCAAACUAAAUGGGAAUUUAUUCUCGUCAAAUUAUAAUAUUUAUAGCGUGGUUGUUUAUUGAUGGAAUCGAAUGAAAAUUGGUAAAGUUGAUGCAAGUGAUGUUGUGUUUUGAUUCAUUUGGUGUAACCUCCUUCAGCCUAAAUAACCUUUGUGAUUUUUUGCCUGAAUGCUGUCGCAUCCUUGAUUACAUGAUCAGCUGGAAUCCUCCUCCAGCUCAGUUGAUGCUAGCCUUAACGGAGCUAACUUUUCUGAAGGAGUGUUUGUUGACAUUUUCUUGAAGGAUACCCCACAUAUAUGAAUCUAGAAUACUCAAAUCUAUAUUAAUUCUUAGCUAGACUUCAGCCUUCGUGAAAUACAGGACCCUCCCCAAUAGAAAUGACUGAGUUGCCUUAGAGGCAUGACACAGAGCAGAGUUCUGAGGAUGUACCACAUGGUUCAAGCCAAACUUUGCCUCCAAGACGUUUUUCAGAAUCUUCAGAUACUCAGUUGUGUUGAUCUUAAGUCCAGCCUCGAUGAAAUAUGGUGCCAUGAUUGAACCAUCAAUGGCUACAAAUCCAAAAACCAUGAUUCCGUCUAGAUUCUUGUACUUCAAAAGUAGUAGGACCUCCUUAGGAGGAUAGCGAUUACUCUAGCAUUAUGCUGAUUAAUUUCUGCGUCCAACACAAAAAAUUUCUCAUCGACAUGCACAACGACUUUUGAAGCGCCAUAUUGGACAGCGAUCUUUCCUAACAGCAAAUUUUAAAUAUCACACAUUCGUAUGGGAAGUAUUACAUGACUAUUGGAAUUAGGCUUUGUCGAUGAGAAGAACAAUAUUAUUUUGCAAGAUUGCUGAGUCUAAACGGAUAAACAGGAAUCUAAAAUAUUAAUAAUAAAUUCAGUGAAUGUAGAGAAUUCGGGUAAGAAUUGAAUCAUUAAGAAAAGAUAAAGGAAUCUCAGACAAUUAGAGUCAAUAUGUGUGUAGUAUGAUUUAUUUUAUAGAUACAGAUAUUUGUGGUCAAUGAUCAUAUUUUGAUAGCAGCACAAAGUGUAUAAAAACAAAAUGUAAAUUGGACAAAUAGACGUUCAUUAUGCCGUACCACUAUUGUUGUAUCUUAUUGAUAUAUAACUAUAUAAUUAAUGAUCAUAAUAUUUUGUAAAAUUGUGUAAGAUAGAAUAAAUUGUUAGUUAAUUAGAGAA